rnacentral:rRNA from 1 species
CCUACGGGUGGGCAGCAGUGAGGAAUAUUGGUCAAUGGGCGGAAGCCUGAACCAGCCAAGUCGCGUGAGGGAUUAAGGCCCUGCGGGUCGUAAACCUCUUUUGCCGGGGAGCAGAGGUCCGGACGUGUCCGGGCCGGGAGAGUACCCGGAGAAAAAGCAUCGGCUAACUCCGUGCCAGCAGCCGCUGUAAUACGGAGGAUGCGAGCGUUAUCCGUAUUUAUUGGGUUUAAGGGGUGCGUAGGCGGUCCGUUAAGUCAGCGGGAAAAUUGCGGGGCUCAACCCCGUCGAGCCGUUGAAACUGGCAGACUUGAGUUGGCGAGAAGUACGCGGAAUGCGCGGUGUAGCGGUGAAAUGCAUAGAUGUCGCGCAGAACUCCGAUUGCGAAGGCAGCGUACCGGCGCCAGACUGACGCUGAGGCACGAAAGCGUGGGGAUCGAACAGGAUUAGAUACCCCUGUAGUC